GGGGAUGUAGCUGGAUGGUAGAGUGCUUACCUGGCAUGUGUGAGGCCCUGGGUCUGAUUCCCAAUAUCACCA
rnacentral:tRNA from 1 species